GCCGCCUGUCUCAGAGGAGCAGCUGGCAUUUCAGAAAAAGAUCAUACUUACGUUGCUUUGACUCACUCUGAAGAUUAACCUGGAAUUGCGUCUCUUCUUGGACAAGUCAGAAGUCCUUUCAACUAUCCUUUUCAAUUAUCUUCUCCUGUCUGGUAGUUUCCCAUCUAGAAUUUUAAUUCACGAAGACUGGAAACAGGACUUCACAAAAUGUCAUCCUGGCACAUUUUCCAGGAGGAACGGUUUUAUUUAUAAACAAAUAAUCGGAGCAUUUUCAUUUCGCUAUGAUGAUCGCUGUAAUUGGCAGAAUCACAGUCGCGCUGGGGCUCGAGGCUCCCGGAGGCCGGGGGGUAGGCACGGCGCGGACGCACCCUAGGAUCGCCGCCAGAGGGCGCCAGCGCGCUCCUUCGCGUCUGCUGCUGCCCUGAUGAAAACGCUCACAGCGCACGCGGUACAGACGGAGCAAAUCCUAUGAACUUCUCCAGCCCAGUUUAGAACAAGGGAAAGGGGAGCGCGCGGUACCGGCUGUCCACUCCGCGGUCCUCCUGGCUCAAGUCACCCUGAGUCUUCCCCCAGCUGACAAAGGCGAUCGGACGCACAGCCAGGACCCAGAACCGUGGAUGGAUCCACUUUGCCAAUAUAUUGAAAAAACUGAUGCCAUGUUGAGAGAAGAGAGAAAUCUAUUUUUGUAAGAAAUGUUACUUUACACAUACUUUGCUGAUUUUUUAUCUCAAAAAACCCAAGACCUGGUGUAGUGUCCAGUAACUCAGUUGCCUGGAGCCCUAUGCAAUGAGACUGAAUUUCCAUGGGGCCCGGUUAGUAGCUUUAAAUCAUUUUCAGGCAAGGCGUACACACACACACACACACACACACACACACACACACACACACACACACGUAUAUACACAGAGAGAGAGAGAGCUCACCUGGUACUUCUCUUUCGUUUCAUGGUGACACAUUACAGUGCACACAACUUGACCAGCUUACAGGUGCUAGAAAUGGAAGUCUGAGGCUGACAACUCAAGGGUGUGUGUGUCAGGGGCAACAGCUCCGUAGAUGGGUAUUAUUAACUAUAAUUACACCAACCCAGCCUCUUUUGAAAAUUGAUCAGAGAUGCUUUUUCUUGUCUUGAUGAGUAGGUCGGAGUAAUUAUCAUUUCCACUGUGCCUGGCCUCUUUUUCUGAAUAUAAGUGAAUUUUAAAAAUCUGUCACCUGUGAAAGUAGACUAAAUUCCAAGUCGUCAAAGUUCUGAAUAAGCUGCCUACCUGGACUGCUGAUCUGUAGUUCAUCUAGCUCAAGGGAAAGCUAAGAAACAAAACAAUCCUGUCUUUUAAAAAGGUUUGGGAAAAGCAGGGUAUAGACGGGGCCACAGAGCACCCUUAAAUGUUGAACUAUAAUGACACCUAAGUCAUCCCUGUAUUUGGCAAGUUUCCAUGAAAGGGUGGUUCAAAAUGACUCUUAAUUAUGUUUUUGGGUUUUUUCUAAAAGGCCAUCUCAGAAUUUUUUUUUUUUUUUUUUUUAGUUUGAAAGCAGCCUGUCCAACAUGGUGAAACCUCAUCUCUACUAAAAACACACAAAAAAUUAACCAGGCAUGGAGGUGCACACCUGUAAUCCCAGCUACUCGGGAGGCUGAAGCAGGAGAAUCGCUUGAACCCGGGAGGAGGAGGCUGCAGUGAGCCAAGGUUGUGCCACUGCACUCCAGCCUGGGCGACAGAGCAGACUGUCUCAAAAAAACAAAACAAAAACCUUUAUGAAUGCUCUUCAAUGGCUGCCAGGUUUGCUUUUUUUUGGCAUUUUGUUGUUAGGUUAGGAGGCUAUCAAGAAAUAUGCAGAAAGCUAAAUAGAUCCCUUCCCUUCUCCUGUUCUCAAACUUACACUAUUUCUAAUAACCAAGUGAGUUAAGUGGGUUUUAAAAUAGAUUACUCCUCACAAUGUUUCUUUCCUUCCACUUACCUGGCAUGUGUAAUCCCAAAGAAUCUUUUAAAUUUUGUGGUGAAAAAUCCCAUUUCUGUUCAUUUGGAUUUCCAUUCAUUAUUUACUAGGCAUUUAACUAUGCUCUAUGCUGGGGAAUCCGAUGGUCAGUAAGACAUGCCUUGGGAGCUGUCUGGUAGGAAAGAUGGACAAGUCACCAGGAAGUGACAGUAGACAUUGGUAAAUGCCAUAGGAAUAUCCCAGGAAUGGAGAUACCAGCAUCAUCAACAUGGGGCACAGAACCCUGGACCUGGGCCGGCUACAUUAAGACUCUCUCAAUGAGAUGGUAAAAUCAGGGACUAUUUUGUUCAUCCAGCUAUCUGGGGUGGUAAGCACAGUUGCCCAAGGCAUAGGGAGCCCCGCAGGAGGACAGCUGAAGAGGAAGGCACAUUUGGGGGAAGGAUGGCACAUGAGGUGAGAUCGGAGUUAAUCAGGCCAGAUUAUGAGGGCCUCGGAUGCCAUACGAGGGACAUGAUGUUUCAGAUCAAUUCCUCAGGCAGCUGUGUGGAUUGGCGAUGGGACCUGCAAUAACUCUGGGUUACCUAAAAUAGUGGCAGUGAGGCUGGAAAGAAGUGGGACAGGAGGAAGUCAUCAGCUACAGGUGGCUGCUGAAAGCAGAGAGGGAGAAAUCACCCAGGAAGAAUGGAGACACCAGGGGAAGCUUCUAGAUAAAACAGCAUCUCUUGGCUGAGCUAAAAGAGGAGCAAAUUUGUCUUUUCUCUUUAUGAGACAGGGUCUCACUCUGUUGCCCAGGCUAGAGUAUAGCAGUGCCAUCACGCCUCACUGCAGCCUCGAAGUCCUGGGCCCAAGCGAUCCUCCCACCUCAGCCUCGUGAGUAGCUAUGACUACAGGUGUGCUCUACAUCCAGCCAAUUUUUUCACAUUUUUGUUGAGACGGGGUCUUCUGACCAGGCAGGGUGGCUCACGCCUGUAAUCCCAACACUUUAAAAGGCCGAGGAGGGUGGAUUACUUGAGGCCAGGAGUUCGAGACCAGCCUGGCCAACAUGGCGAAACCCGUCUCUAUGAAAAAUGCAAAAAUUAGCUGGGUGUGGUGGCGCAUGCCUGUAACCACAGCUGCUUGGGAGGCUGAGGCAUGAGAAUUGCUUGAACCUGAGAGGCAUUCCAGCCUGGGCAAUAGAGACUAACAAAACAGACAAGUUCUGGAACUCCUAGCCUCAGGUGAUCCUCCCACCCCUUGGCCUACCCAAAGUGCUGGGAUUACAGGUGAGCAUGGCACCUGGCUUAAGGAGUUCUGGCAGAGGCCCUACUCCCUGCCCUGCAUCCUGUCUCCCAUGGCCUCUGGCUCUAGCCCAAGCUUGUCCAACCUGUGGUCCAGGGCAGCUUUGAAUGUGGCCCAACACAAACUUAUAAGCUUUCUUAAAACACCAUGAUUUUUUUUUUUUUUUUUUUUUAGCUCAUCAGCUAUUGUUAGUGUUAGUGUAUUUUAUGUGUGGCUGAAGACAAUUUUCUUCUUCCAGUGUGGCCCAGGGAAACCAAAAGAUUGGACACACCUGCUCUAGCCAACGUUCAUUCCAGCCCUCCUGUGUCAAUCUGCUCUUCAACUCAGCCUUUCAACACACUCAGGUCCUGCUUAUCUGGGCAGUUUGUGGCAGGAGCUGUGGAGGCUAGGGCAUACCCCCUUCCACCCUCUCCAAAGCAUUACUUUUACUAUUAAUAUAAUAACUUUGGAGGUGGCAAAGAGAAAUUUAUGUUAGAGCAAAACUACAAAAACUCUCAUAGAUCUGAUACUGAUGACUUGUACACUUCAGAUCAUUAUCAGUGAUGUAGAAUACAACGUAUUCUCAGCUAGCACGUUCUGCUACCAAUUAGCUGCUUUUUACAGUGCUAACGUACACAUUCUGUCACCUUAACACAGCUGGUUUCUCUAACAAGCCUUCAUGUUUCGCACGUCAGCACCACCACCACUGGGCUCCUCUCACGAACCUGUUGUAACGGGCCUCCCAGGUGACUGCUAUCUCCUGACGCUGGGCCCACCACCACCUGGAAGCCCUCAGGCGCUGACACUACCACAGGGAUUUUCUUCACCUGGAAUCUGAAGCAAAUGUGCAUUCUUCUGGCAGGGAAGCCUGCGGCCCUAGACAUCCUCAAAGACGUUAACAACAAAAAACCCACAGCUUUAGACUCAAUAAAUUCAGCAGAGUUCACUUCUCCAAACAUACGCCAAGCCAAAGUUUUCUCCAAGCCCUUUAAUAUUCACUUAAACAGUUGAGGCACAAGCAAUAAUAAAACUGCAUUUUUU
rnacentral:lncRNA from 10 species